GGAGUUGUGGCUCAGCGGUAGAGCACUACUUGCCUAGCAUGUGCAAGGCCCUGGGUUCGAUCCUCAGCACCA
rnacentral:tRNA from 1 species